rnacentral:rRNA from 1 species
UGGGGAAUUUUGGACAAUGGGCGCAAGCCUGAUCCAGCAAUGCCGCGUGCAGGAAGAAGGCCUUCGGGUUGUAAACUGCUUUUGUCAGGGAAGAAAUCUUCUGGGCUAAUACCCCGGGAGGAUGACGGUACCUGAAAAAUAAGCACCGGCUAACUACGUGCCAGCAGCCGCGGUAAUACGUAGGGUGCGAGCGUUAAUCGGAAUUACUGGGCGUAAAGCGUGCGCAGGCGGCUUUGCAAGACAGAUGUGAAAUCCCCGGGCUCAACCUGGGAACUGCAUUUGUGACUGCAAGGCUAGAGUACGGCAGAGGGGGAUGGAAUUCCGCGUGUAGCAGUGAAAUGCGUAGAUAUGCGGAGGAACACCAAUGGCGAAGGCAAUCCCCUGGGCCUAUACUGACGCUCAUGCACGAAAGCGUGGGGAGCAAACA